GAUGAACGCUGGCGGCGUGCCUAAUACAUGCAAGUCGAGCGAACAGACGAGGAGCUUGCUCCUCUGACGUUAGCGGCGGACGGGAGAGUAACACGUGGAUAACCUACCUAUAUGACUGGGAUAACUUCGGGAAACCGGAGCUAAUACCGGAUAAUAUCUUGAACCGCAUGGUUCAAUAGUGAAAGACGGUUUUGGUGUCACUUCUAGAUGGAUCCGCGCCGUAUUAGCUGGUUGGUAAGGUAAAGGCUUACCAAGGAAACGAUGCGGAGCCGACCUGGGAGGGUGGUCGCCCACACUGGAACUGGGACACGGUCCAGGGUCCUACGGGAGGGAGCAGAAGGAAAUCUUCCGCAAUAGGCGGGAGCCUGGCGGAGCGACGGCACGUGUGUUAUGAAGAUCUUCGGAGCGGAAAACUCUGUUAUGAGGGAAAAACAAAUGUGUAAGUAACUGAACACUUCUUGACGGUACCUGAUCAAGAAGCCACGGCUAACUACGUG
rnacentral:rRNA from 1 species